rnacentral:rRNA from 1 species
AAUGGGGGAUAACGUAGCGAAAGUUACGCUAAUACCGCAUAUGCCCUGAGGGGGAAAGUGGGGGAUCGCAAGACCUCACGUUUUCGGAGCGGCCGAUAUCAGAUUAGCUAGUUGGUGGGGUAAAGGCCCACCAAGGCGACGAUCUGUAGCUGGUCUGAGAGGACGACCAGCCACACUGGGACUGAGACACGGCCCAGACUCCUACGGGAGGCAGCAGUGGGGAAUUUUGGACAAUGGGGGCAACCCUGAUCCAGCCAUGCCGCGUGAGUGAAGAAGGCCUUCGGGUUGUAAAGCUCUUUCGGACAGAAAGAAAUCGCCCUUCCUAAUACCAGGGGUGGAUGACGGUACUGUAAGAAGAAGCACCGGCUAACUACGUGCCAGCAGCCGCGGUAAUACGUAGGGUGCGAGCGUUAAUCGGAAUUACUGGGCGUAAAGCGUGCGCAGGCGGUUUAUUAAGACAGAUGUGAAAUCCCCGGGCUUAACCUGGGAACUGCAUUUGUGACUGGUAGGCUAGAGUGUAGCAGAGGGGGGUAGAAUUCCA